rnacentral:piRNA from 1 species
UGAGUUCAAGGACAGCCUGGUCUAAA